UACGGGGGGGGCAAGCGUUGUUCGGAAUUACUGGGCGUAAAGGGCUCGUAGGCGGCCAACUAAGUCGGAUGUGAAAUCCCCAGGCUUAACCUGGGAACUGCGUCUGAUACUGGAUGGCUUGAAUUCGGGAGAGGGAUGCAGAAUUCCAGGUGUAGCGGUGAAAUGCGUAGAUAUCUGGAGGAAUACCGGUGGCGAAGGCGGCAUCCUGGACCGAGAUUGACGCUGAUGAGCGAAAGCUAGGGGAGCAAACGGG
rnacentral:rRNA from 1 species